UAGGGAAUCUUCGGCAAUGGACGGAAGUCUGACCGAGCAACGCCGCGUGAGUGAAGAAGGUUUUCGGAUCGUAAAGCUCUGUUGUUAGAGAAGAACGUUGGUAGGAGUGGAAAAUCUACCAAGUGACGGUAACUAACCAGAAAGGGACGGCUAACUACGUGCCAGCAGCCGCGGUAAUACGUAGGUCCCGAGCGUUGUCCGGAGUUAUUGGGCGUAAAGCGAGCGCAGGCGGUUCUUUAAGUCUGAAGUUAAAGGCAGUGGCUUAACCAUUGUACGCUUUGGAAACUGGAGGACUUGAGUGCAGAAGGGGAGAGUGGAAUUCCAUGUGUAGCGGUGAAAUGCGUAGAUAUAUGGAGGAACACCGGUGGCGAAAGCGGCUCUCUGGUCUGUUACUGACGCUGAGGCUCGAAAGCGUGGGGAGCAAACAGG
rnacentral:rRNA from 1 species